UACGGGGGGGGCGAAGCGUUGUUCGGAAUUACUGGGCGUAAAGGGCUCGUAGGUGGCCAACUAAGUCAGACGUGAAAUCCCUCGGCUUAACCGGGGGAACUGCGUCUGAUACUGGAUGGCUUGAGUGUGGGAGAGGGAUGCGGAAUUCCAGGUGUAGCGGUGAAAUGCGUAGAUAUCUGGAGGAACACCGGUGGCGAAGGCGGGUCUCUGGGCCGAUACUGACGCUGAGGAGCGAAAGCAUGGGUAGCGAACAGG
rnacentral:rRNA from 1 species